UGUCUAUUUAUUAUGUUGUUUAUUUGACCCUUUCAAUUGACAAAUUAUUCAUAAUUUUAUCAGUUCUGCUGGGGCAUCAUCCCCAGCUGUUCCAAUGAAUGUUGGCAGCAUAGAUGGGUCAAGUCAUGGACAAGUCUCUAAAGCGGCUUCUCUCUCGUGUGUUGGUUCACAACCACCAUGGACUUCAUUGAGCACAAGUGCUGGCGGUUCUGCUUUUUGGUUCUUCAAGAUCUUCAUGUAGACCUUGGGAAAGAGGAGAUUUAUUAAGACGUUUGGCUACAUUUAUUCCUUCAAAUUGGCUUGGGAAGCCUCAGAGAAGUGGAUGAAUCUCUAAGACUGGGUGUCGAUGCUUCAAUAGAUGCUUGCUCACGUGAUGAUAUUCAAUAUCUUCAUACUGUAUUUGGGGAACUUUCAACAGAGAUUGAUAAUGAGGGGUGUCGACUAAUAUUCAUAGAAAGCAAUUACUACUCCCAUGGAAAACUUUGUUUAUGCAAAUUCUAUACGUUAUGAAAUCAGAUCUUCAGCAGCUCCAUUCUUAGUGGACCUUCGUUUUUAGAUGUCUACUUCAUAUUUAAGAACUUAUAUCUUUGUCAUGGGUACCAAAAUGGUAGUGAGAUGUAUUCAUUUUUUAGGAACUGGUAAAUACCAUUUGCAUUCAGUUUGUAGUACAGUACAACAUUAGCAAUAUUCAGAUGAAAGCAAAAACUAUCAUAUACCUACUUAUUCAAUGAGCCGAGAUAAAUGCAAA